GGGGCCAUGGUUCAACGGGAGAAUUCUCGGUUCGCAUCCGAGAGAUCCGGGUUCGAUUCCCGGUGGUUCCA
rnacentral:tRNA from 1 species